GACGUAGGAGGCGAGCGUUGUCCGGAUUCAUUGGGCGUAAAGGGUGCGUAGGCGGCGCGGUAAGUCGGGUGUGAAAUCUCGGAGCUUAACUCCGAAACUGCAUUCGAUACUGCCGUGCUUGAGGACUGGAGAGGAGACUGGAAUUUACGGUGUAGCGGUGAAAUGCGUAGAGAUCGGAAAGAACACCAACGGCGAAAGCACUCUGCUGGGCCGACACUGACACUGAGAGACGAAAGCUAGGGGAGCGAAUGGG
rnacentral:rRNA from 1 species